GCCAGAAAAGCCACGAGAUUCUCUCGGAAAAGAUUCGUCAAGAGAUUUUCUUUCUGUAGCAUCCCGUGAAAAUUGAUCUCUGGCUCGUCGUAAGCGGCUACUCCAAGAAGAAUCCGACUGAUUUGCCUGACCAGAACCGCCAACCGGAAAUGCCUGAAACUGAAAUGAAUUCCCGUGCUUUUGAAAGUGACGUGGGUUCCGGUUUCCUUUACCUUUCCUGUGGUGUUGCCAUCCUCUAGCAUCUCUCUGAGACUGGUGACGUGUCCGGAAGGAAAUGUCCUUUCCGUUCGAAUUCUUUCGCUUGUGUCGAGUUCUAUUGCGGUAUGAAGUAUUGCCGCUGACCUCAACAGAAGAAGGUACUCGCAUUUGGUUCAGUGCUUCCCAGUCUUUUGACCGUUGUUGUUUUUUCCAUGUGUGAUAGCGUUCUUGAUGGGCGUCAGCGUGAAGGUGCUUUGUGAAUGAAAGAAGCUCCACGAAAGUUUCCUUGCAUAGAGUGCAUUCGUGUACACAAUCCCUAAAAUCCAACGAAACCACUUUUUAGAACAUGGAAAUAUUUCUAGUUUUUAUAAGGAAAUCUAUGUAUGUCAAGUAACUGGUCAAAGUGACAACAAGAAUCUGCAAGAUGUUAAUCAAAGUGCACCUAGACCCUGAGACAAUACUUUAGGUAUUGAUUCUACCUAAGGUAGAAAUGAAGAAAUAUUUCAUCAUUCAACUACUGUAUUCACUUUAUGUAGAAUCAAUACUCAAAGUAUUGUAUCUGAGGUUAAGUGCACUUUAACUCUGCAUAAAGAGGCAAUCUGGAGUAAGUAAUUCACUAAAUAAUAGUUGACUUUAAGCAAAGGAAAUGGGAAGUGAAAGGUGCGAUAAAAUUAAUUCUUCCUUCAAUUUAAAAAACGCAAACAAAUAGUGUUAUUGCAAUGGCAGAUCCAGGAUGAUUUCAAAGGGGGAGGGGUGGCUAAUACAAAAAUGUCAGUAUACAGCUUUUUUUGGAUUGACAAAUAGAUAGUAUGGGGCCUCCAUUUUGGCUGUACUGUACUGACAAGUAAACAGUUUGUGGCAAACUAUUUGGCCACAAGAGAAAGAGAAAAAGAAAUCACAGCCUCUUAGACAAAGCAGAUCAUUCCAAUCAUCAUGAGUAAAGUUUAGUCAUGUACUGAAUUGACAAGUAAACAGCUUGUGGCCAACAUUUUAACCAAAAGAGAAGAAGAAAAGAGAAAUUAUUACAGCCUCUAGGACUAAGCAGAUCGUUACAUUCAUCAGGAACAAAUGCUGAAGAGUGCAAAAAAUGAAUGGAAUGAAAUCUUACUCGGGUACUAUGUAGUUUGUGGCCAACAUUUUGACCACAAGAGAAGGAAAGAAAAACCUUCCAAGUCUCUAGGACUGCAAGAAGAUUGCUCUAUUCAACAAAGGAGGUUUUGUAUCUAUUGACCUUGACAAAUGACAAAGUUUGUACAUGUACAUGUAGCUAUUAUUGUGGCAAUUAGGAAAGAGUAUGGGAUACUAAACCCAUUCUGAUGCAGCUGAAUGGUUUCUGCUUCAAAAGCAAAUUCAGUCCCACCAAAAAUUUAAUAUAAUCACCAUAAAAGCAAAUUCAAAGACCACAAUAAAAAUACAAUAAGCCAUGAAAUAAAUGAUGAUGAUAUUGACCGGGUCGGUGCCCCAUACAAGAAUUCUGCUAGAUUUUUAGAUUUGGUAAGAAAACACUUCUUUAGUUUUUCGAAAAUUUAAGCAGAGAGAUAAAACUAACUUUAUCAGAAUAGAUGGUUAGGCCAAACAAAAAAAUAAGUGUGUUUCCUGCUGCAUGAGAAAAAUAAUUGGGGUCGGCAGGUCAGAUUUUUUUUACUGAUACAACAGUAGCCUGCGUGCAGCCGAACUAGCUAACUGUUUAGUCCGUCUGCAAACCAGCGACAGCUUUCUUGUUCCGUUACCCCCAGCAGCAUACCUGGAUUUCAGUACACAUUCUGAUUGGCUCUUACUUAUAAGUUUGCUGAUUGGCUAUAAUUUUCAGUCUCUAUUCAAAUUUCAGGCUAGUUUGUUUAUAUGAUUUCACGUGCAUUGCUUCUUACCGGGAAUAAGACUCAAAUUUAUGUCUCGUUUAUUGCUAGUAAUAAUUAUAAUUUGUAUUUUAUGUCCUCAAGAGUUAUCAAAGCACCAUGUUUGUUAUCUUGUAGAAGGAAAGUCAAAGUUAAACGUGAAGUGUGAGUUGGAGAUUUAUUUUCAAUCAACAGAGCGAGUAUAUAUGCAAGUUGCGCUUUCAAACCUUGUCAAAGAGACAAAGUUUAAUCCAACUGCAACACAAACUUGAAACCUUGCGUGACAUACACAAGGAGAAUAUGUUGCCUGUUGAGACAAAUGAGCUAAAGAGAGGAUCAGCAGAGGAUAUGAAGUGUGUACCCCUAAAAGCCGUAUCGAAGGGACUAGCAAAGAUAAUACAUCAUGUGUUCGCACAUGCAAAAGAAAAAAUUCCCGCUGUUCCUCCUUAUUCGCCAAUUCAGAAAGAAGCCCGUCUGUUAAGUCAAUAUGUACAGAUCUGUCCGACAAGGUGAAAUGAACAACCAAAGAAAAGCUAAGGAGAGAAUGCUACCAGAAGAAUCUCUGGGCAAGAUGCUGGUUUGCUGGGUCACGAUUUGUGUCUUUGCUUUGCAGAUGGACUAUAAGAGAGAAAAGUUUGGCUGCACGCAGGCUAAUACAACAGUGGAAAUGAGCUUACUNGGAACCCUGUGGUGCAUUUGGGAAUUAAAAAAAUAUAUUAGGGUUGGCAAAAAUCGGCAAGAAAAUAAGGGUCGGUCGCACAACAGGAAACACACUUAUUUUUGUGUUUGGCCUUAUAUAUAUGUAUGAUAACAUAAUGUGGUCAAUUGCCAUCCAACCAGAAAUCAAUUGGAUAUAAUCUAACACAAUAAAAGGACAGAGUCUAUUUGUAAAAUGGGUGACAAAUAACAUCAAUAGAGAACAAAUAUAUCUAAAUAAACAAUAAUAAUAAUAUACAAGUGACAAUAAUAGCAAAGUCUGCAUCCACUAUUACUGGUUUGCAAUCAUUCUCAAGGGAGUUAAAUAACAAAAGACAUGGCAUCCAUGUUGGUUGGUUUAACAAAAGGAUUCAUUUACAAGUCUUUUGUCAAAUUCAACCAAAAUGAAGGCUACAGUGUAUGGCAUCAUAAUCAUGUACAUAGGUUGAAUAGGUGAGUGUUUGUUUGUAGUUUUGUGAAAGUCUCAACAGCUUUAAAGUGCCUAUGACACCUAACUCAAAAUUUUCAGCAUUGAUUCUAAAUGAAGUAAAUAGUUGAAUGGUAAAAUAUUUUUAUAGGGUUUGAGUGACGCAUCUUGGAGAUAUCAAGGCUUAUACUCCCAAUAUGUUAAUGGUGUGACGUUAAAGGAGGCAUUAUUAAAUAUACAAACUUUUUCUGGGGCAGUAAAAUAUCCUGUAUAAAACAUCAUUGCCUUACUUAGGAUUUAAAGAA
rnacentral:lncRNA from 1 species